UGGUUCUGCUUUUGCCAACUA
rnacentral:miRNA from 14 species